GUCAAACUUUUGCAAUGUAAAUACACACGGUUAGAUAUUAUAAAAUUCUUCUUAAGGUGGUGAAAUACGAAAAAGUUAUAAACUAUUAAUAUAAUUUAUUAUCCAAACCCUGAGAAAAGACAAGGAUUAGAUACCCUUUUAUUCGGGGCACAUUAUCUUACGGAGCAUUACGGCUAAGAAAGCUAAAACUCAAACAUCAUGGCGGUAAUUUUCAUUUAGGGGAACUUACCACAUAAUUGAUAACCACCAAGGUAACCAAACUUCAAGAAAUUCUUGUAUGCCGUCGUCGUCAGGUAAAACAUGAUGUUUUAUCAGGGAGAAAUCAAAAAGACAGAUCAAGGUGCAGACAAUCUUAAAGUGUAGGCGAGUUACAAUUUUCAGCAGCAAGUUAUUUUAAAAAUGGCUUAAAGGAGGACUUAACAGUAAAUUUAAUUAUGAUUACCRAUUGAAAAAAGUUAGAAUUGUGCACAA
rnacentral:rRNA from 1 species